rnacentral:tRNA from 1 species
GCUAAUAUGGUGUAUAAAGCACGUAGGGUUUUCAUCCUUAAAGAGGGGCGAGUCCUCUAUAAGUU